UCAACUGUAAUUACCCAGACUGAUACAAGAGACUGGUGUUCACAACAUGGACUGAAAAGUUUAUAUUCCUCCGUUCUCACUUCCCCUUCCCAAGUAUACUAUCUACAAUUUGCAAGGAGGAAAGUGGUUUCAGGUCUUGAAGGUUACAAUUACAGACCAACAUUGCCACCUAAUGUUUUACUACUCAUUCCGAGGGAAAGAAGCACUUCUGUGGCAUUGACAAAGGAGGAUUUCCACGACUCAGUAUUGGAUUUGCGGAUUUGUAUGUGGAUGAAAAUAACAGCAACGAAAUCAUCACUAUCCUUUGCUUGAACCCGAGCUUAUUAAUAUGUAUGAGCAUGACAGAUAAAAAGGGAUUUCUCAAGCCACAUCUCUUAAUAAAUUUGAAAGUAGAGCAAAGGUAACAUUACCUGAUGAAUUUUAU
rnacentral:lncRNA from 1 species